UACGGUAUAGCAAAAAAAUUACUGUGGGCGCGGUUUCGACUUAGAAUUAUUACAUUUGCUUUACUUGAUUCCCCAAUGCUUGCUUAAUUCUUAUCUACUGGAUACUCUACUCUGUACUUAAUUGUAUGGAGUAUCGCCUAGCCAGCGGAGUUGUGGUUUAUUAACUCCUGUCUUUGCACCAGGGAGUAAAAUUCUGACAAAUGAUUAUGGGGUCAAGUUAAUUAAUCAUAGUGGGGUGCCAUUUAAUUUACUUUGAGUAAAUUAAAGUGUUCAAAGCAUCCUCUUGGGGCUUUGAAUAAUUUAGCAUGGGAUAAUGAAAUAAGAUUGGAUUCCUAUUUGUUGGUUUAAUGAAUCCAAUAAUGAUUAAGAGGGACAGUUGGGGGCGCUCAUAUUAAGUGGUUAGCGGUGAAAUGUGUUGACCCACAUAACACGAACUAAAGCGAAAACAUUUGCCAAGGAUGUUUUCAUAAAUCAAGAG
rnacentral:rRNA from 1 species